CAAAGAAAUCCACCUUGUGUCAACGGGUUGAUACAUAAUAUCUAUGGACUAAAAAAGUUAUGGAUAGUUCUAUCCGAAGAACACUCGUUUAACUUCUUGCGAACCAACAAGUUAAAUCAAGAUCCACUCGAGAACGAGUUUUCGUGCGUAAGGCGGGCCUGCGGUAACAACGAUACGCCAAACGCUCAGCAAUUUGGAACUGCUCUAAAAUAUAGUUGCAUAAAAAAAACAUGCUUUCAAUAACAAACACGAAUUGUGAAGACGACAACCACGUACCUAUAGCGUGUAAUGAAUCUGACCAAAACGAUCUUCUUGAAAACGACCCUUUGGAAGGAUGUGAUGAAUUUGUAUUACGGCCGCUCGAUCCUCUUGAAGAAAAUGUACCAGUUCCUGAUGUAUUGGAAAGAAAUGCAUUGUUAUACGUCACUGGAUAUUCAAUAUCUAAGCUUACUCACAAAAAAUGUAUUAAAAAGCUAAACCAGUCACAGGCUGACGACGCACACGAUUACACUUUCUGCUUGCUGAAAAAAAACCUCAAUUCGAAACACUUCAUAGUUCCAAGUAAAAAUGCGUUAAAAAUAGGUCUGGAUGUUCUGAACGCAUUCAAGCAAAAGUUCCAGAUAUUAUUGAAUGACAAUAGGAAAGGUAUUAAACUACGACUGAAAGAAUAUAUCGAAUACGAUCAAUAUGAAUCCGUGAUGUGCUAUAACUGUUUCAAUAAGGUUAUCAAUAGACUCUUUAAUACAUUCAUUAAAGCAGAGGUUCGAAAAAUUCAGCAGAAAAAUCUUAACAAUAAAAAUACCAAAAGAAUGAAAAAGAACACAAAAGCCAGGAGGCUGGGUAUCCCGAGUAAUGUACAAACAUCCAGAAAGAAUAUGAAAUCUCGUACAACGAAAUCGACCUGUUCUACAUCCACUACACGAAAUGAUAGCAAUGUCCAUAGCCAACCAUUUGAAACAGAAUAUGUAAACUGUCCUGAUGAUGGAUUUGAACAUAAUACGGAAUAUGUUAAUGAAGAAAACCCUCUUGAUGUUGACGGCGAAAAUAAUAGCCAAUCAGGCGAAGAUCAGGAAAACCAAAAAAUGAACGAAUGCAUUAAAGCGCUAGAAGAAUUACUGAAACAUUUACCAGAACAACGAAAAAUUGAAGUCGAGAAAAGAGAUUGCUUCCGAUUAACAAUAGCUGAAAUAAACGACACAUUUGCAGAAUUCAAGCCUGAACUCCAAUGUAUUUUCGACAAGUAUAAAACAUUUUCCAGUUAUCAAUUGGCCAAAAUUCACACGUUGGCUUCAUUUGAACAAGUCUGUCGAAUUUUUACGGAUGACCAACUUUACGCGAUGGUAUUAUAUCUAGACAGCCAACUGGUUUCACCUGAAGAUACAGGAUUGUUCACCGACGUUAUUGACGACGUUCUCGUGUAUGAAUGGGCAAUAAGAAUCUUU